CCCCUCCAGAUCCCUUUCCCAUCAGAUCUGAAUACCGAUCUUGUGGUCGAAAACGGAGGAAAAAUAAAAUUCAAACUGGUCUCGGCCUCUUGGCUGGCGCAGCCCUGCUGUGAAAGGGG
rnacentral:snoRNA from 1 species